rnacentral:snRNA from 1 species
UUUCUUUUGGCAGCACAUAUCCUAAAACUGAAAUGAUGGAGAAGAUUAGCACAGUUCCUAUGUAAGGACAUCACAACAUUUAUGAAGAGUUCCAUGUAUGU